GGCAAGGGCAAAAGGGGGUGCAGGGCAGAUGCGGCUUUUCUGAGGUUACAGCCGCUACACGACUACACGGCUACACUCCCUAGUGCAAGGACAAACUGUGUGAAGAAUUCAAUCUAUGUACGAGUCUCGCCGAAGGUUAGUCUGUUUCGAGAUAUAUAGUCCAUGUCUGGCUGAUGACAGGCUUCACAAUUCGAUUAUAUAUUAUGGAGCAAAAGGAACAACACAAAGGAAACUGGCUCACAGGAAAGCUGGAAUUAUUGCUAAUAGUUGUUUUUUCAAUUUGGAAGCGAUACUGAAAAAUCACUCACUUGAAUUUGUUCUCAUGAUUCGACAAAUUCGGUUUCAAGGAGUCGUUCUGAACAGCAGGUAUUUUUGCUGUAGAUCAGACAGUUAUGUGCACACACACAUGCGCCUUUGUCGUGGCUCGUGCCUUUCUUUUCCAUCCCACCUUCAUACACCUUUUCUGUCAGAGGCCGUUUUCCGUCCGCCUCUUAUCCUCGUGCUGCCUCCAAGGAGGCAUCGGUUCAUAGUGUGCAGGCCCAUCACUAGCGUCACUUAAACUAAUACUAAUAAAAAGGGAUUGCUGGCGAUGGUGGGUUUUAAAUACGUUCAGAUCUUUUAGCUGAAAUUUUCAAUACUUACAAGUUCUAUAAAAAUUGAAACUAAACUUUUCUUAUUCCACAGCAGAUCCGUUCCCAGAUCCAUUCGGAGAGUUUAUGGCCAUAAUUCUGCUGUAAAUGUGUCGAAUGCGGUACAUUGAUAAAUUAAAAAAAUACCUUUGUAUUACCUCAUUUCGAGCCUUAGGCCUGUAUCGAUUUUUCAAAGAGUAUUCCCGUAGCAUAACUUUACGAAGUUACGUAAUGGUAGGGGAGAUGUGAGUAUAGCAAACACCUAAGGGGAAAAAUCACUUCAAUGCAAGGAAAAUAUGUUGAAUGACUUUCUAAUAGUUCAAAACUUAACUACGGAAA